GCCGCCCCUUGCCUUCUUCCCUGGGGCGCAGGCCGGGGUCGCGGAGAGUGCGCACGUGCACCCCAAGCAUGGCACAGGUGCCCAGCACCUGCCUGAUCCCAGGUGCUUGGGCCCCGGGUGUGAGCUCUUGUCACCACUGCAGGCUGGCCUCUGGUCCGGUGCCCUGCCCUCAGUAUGCCUGUCUCCAGGUGACCCACAGAAGCCCCGUAUGCAGACAUUUCUGAGACUUGAAUCCCUGGAGCCCAGGAUGACAGCCUCCCAGAUCGCUCUGAAGGAUUGCUCCAAAGAGGUACGGGAGGAGCCAGGCUAUUAUGGGAGUUUUACAACAAAGACCCUGUAGUCAGAACAUUAAAAAUUACUGUUAAAGAAAA